UACGGAGGAUCCAAGCGUUAUCCGGAUUUAUUGGGUUUAAAGGGUGCGUAGGUGGCUUUUUAAGUCAGGGGUGAAAGACGGUAGCUUAACUAUCGCAGUGCCUUUGAUACUGAAGAGCUUGAAUGAACUAGAGGUAGGCGGAAUGUGACAAGUAGCGGUGAAAUGCAUGGAUAUGUCACAGAACACCAAUUGCGAAGGCAGCUUACUAUGGUUAGAUUGACACUGAGGCACGAAAGCGUGGGGAUCAAACAGG
rnacentral:rRNA from 1 species